UAUUCCCGACAGAGAUGCAAUAUGAUCUGUUUGAAACUGUACCGACAGACAAGACCAUCCACUUCAAGCUGUAUGGAGAAAAUGUGAAUAGCUACAAAAUAUAGGACUGGGUACAUGUGAAUUUGUGAACAGUAUACAGUAAAUAUUCCCAUCCCGGAAUUCUAUGAAAAGGAAUAUCCUUCACCCGGAAUAAAAACCUAUGCAUUGACAUUUUGACUACGAUAUUACGUGUUACCGGAACUUGCUUAAGUGGAAAUUCCACUACCCGUAACCCGGAUGGAGGUGUAAUGCCGCGGGAGCUUAAAUACACGCAACGCCCACCCGAUGCGACGGAAAAGACAACGCUGAAACAAGAUUUCACUUCGCAUUUUUCAUUCAUUAGGUUUGAAACGAAGACGUAUUAUCGCAUCGAAACGUAGAAGAACUGUAACGACUGGAGCGGAGCGAGUGAAAUGCGUCCGUUUGAGCGAGGCUGGACACAAAGUUAAAAAGAUCCAGCAGACACUUGGGGUCGGAAAGACGCAAAUCUACGAAACUUAAAAAAAAAAGGCAUCGAUUCAACUCCUGAUGACAAGCCACCAUCCAGCAAGGAAGCAAUGCAAAUGGCAACAAAAAUCCUUCAGUAUGCACAAGAAUUACCAGACAUCGGUGAUCAACGGGACAGUUACUUGCAACUAGCAAGAAAACUGUAUGACACGCAGGCAAACAUUGUCAUAAACCAAAGAAUGCAUCCAACAAAACAAUCCAAAA